UCUCGCAAUGAUGAUAAAUGGUUAAUCCCAGCUCAUUAUGAGGCCCAUUUAAGGGUCUGGGAAUAGACUUAAUCCAUGAUUAUCUGAGCCUAGA